rnacentral:tRNA from 6 species
GUUUAACCCCUUCCCCUACUA